GUCAGUUGCCGGGAAGGAAUGUGCGGCGUCACCUGACGGCGCCGGCGAUGCCUGCUAGCUCCCGCCCGCGGGGGCGCACCUCGCACACUGACUCAGCGCCUGAAGGAGCGCAGGCGCCGCCCCCACGCCAGUCCCCUGCACGCAAGUAGCGGCGACCACCCAGUGCCGCGGGGUAGCCCCAACCCCACCCCCGCGCUUCCGCUCCCCAAGGAACAGCCUGACUUUCCCGGGGCAGCGCCGGCCCCCGCGGGCCGCCCUUUUGGGCAGAGAAGCGGGUGUAGGGUCCCCUCUCCGCGGAGGCGGGCAGCUCGCAGGAUCCCUGCCUGGGAGUCAGCGCGCCCCACAGUAGAGACAAACUUGACAGGGUACUUGAAAAAUUGAUGCAGGUUUGGCGCAACAGUUAUGGCAGACCAGCUAGAACGAACAGAAUGAAGAACUUGUCCGACUUCACUGUGAAAUAUUUUUGAGAAGAUCUUCAAAGUUGAAAUAAUUGUAUGAAGAACUUCUGGACAUCAAGGCAAGAAUAACCCAGAAAUGUUAUUUUAGCCAAAUUAGUCAUUAAACUUUGUCUUGCUUCUGCAGACUUAAGGAAUAACUGUAACAAGAUAAUUUAGCAUUUUAUUUUAGAAGGAAAAUACAUGCUUACAACACUAAUUGAUAUCCUAUUUUAUUUUUAUGGAGUGUUCAGGGUUAAAGAGUAUCAUUGAUUCCUGUGGCCUUAUAAGAUUGUUUUCAGAAUAGCGCUACAUACAAACUAUUGGUUCUCAACACUUGCCAGACCACACUUCCUGUUUCGAAGGGGAACCACCAAGAACACCCUCCUACCUAGCUAAGAUGCAGACAAGACUCCCUUUCUAUUUAAUAUAGAAGAACAAUGUAUUAACAAAAUACCAGUAAUAUCCUUUCAGAUAAAUCUGCUACUGUAAACAUACAUGUAGUUGCACAGUAAAUUUAAGGUUAGUCACAGAAUAUGUCCCUGGCUCCCAAGAAGAGUCAAAAGCUGUUUGAGUUUACUAAUAAAAAUCAGCUAAUUUGUCUACCUUG